rnacentral:lncRNA from 1 species
AUUUGAGGAUGAUACACUUGAGUCUUUCUGCAGAAGAAUUCCUGGAAGGAAUUUUCUGCUUGUCAUUGGAAUCUAUUUUGCUAUAGUAUGAUCUUCUGACCUCCUUGUUUUGCUCUAGUUAAAGAAGAUAGAGAAGCUACAGAAGGCUUUGGAAAUCCAGCUUUUAACAUGAGCAACCCAGACCUCUCAGCACAUCAGACUUCAGAAGAGAAAAUUAUUAGACAUGACACGCUGGAUCGCACCCUUGCAGCUCACCAACAAAAAUCCAGGCUGCCAGUCUGCGCGGUGCCAAAAGGUGAUGAUAAAGUUUUCUGUAAUCAAUUAAUGAAGUUGUCUGAUGAGAAUGAACAAGAAGAAUCUCAAGGUGGGAGCACCAAGGAGGACAUUUUGGAUUCUGAAGCACUCACAAGUUCCUGUAAGAUUCAAGAGACCCACAAAGAGGCAGAUGAAGCCACCUCUGAUUCCAUCCAGGAGUUUGAAAGACAUGCUCAGAAAGACAUAAUUCUGCUUGGAAGUUCUCCGUUUGAACAGGUCAGCAUUAAGUAUAUAUGUAAGAUGACCUAUUUUUAUUUUUUAUUUUUUGGUACCGGGGAUUGAACUUGGGUCCUUGCGCUUGCGCAGCAGGUGGUGAAACCAUUGAGCUAAAUCCCUGGUCCAAGAUGACCUAUUUGUAAAUGACAAAUUGAAAUGUCAGGCCUACACAUCCAUGGUCUAUGGAUUCUGCUUCCCUGCACAAUCUUCCUAGAACACACGAUUGUUAACUUCAUUGGACCUUUCCCUUUACAUUUCACACACAUUUUACCAGGCAGAAGUUACACUCCUUAUCAAAAUCUUCCCAUGGCCCUUUCACCAUUUAGUUUCACUCCAUCUGGUUUUAUUUUAUGCUGUAGUGUUCAUUUCGUGCAGGCCAUGAAGAAUCUAACAUACAAUCCAAAACCAACAUAAACUUAUUUGGAUAAAUUUAUGUUGAAUUUAUUUACAGAAGCAUUGUAUUAGUGUAUAAGUAUUAGUACAUAAAUAUUUGUGAAGUCAUUAUUUAAG